rnacentral:rRNA from 1 species
GCCCUAGUACGGCGAGUGAGCGGCAACAGCUCAAAUUUGAAAUCUGGCUCUCGGGCCCGAGUUGUAAUUUGUAGAGGAUGCUUUUGAUGCGGUGCCUUCCGAGUUCCCUGGAACGGGACGCCAUAGAGGGUGAGAGCCCCGUCUGGUUGGAUGCCAAAUCUCUGUAAAGCUCCUUCGACGAGUCGAGUAGUUUGGGAAUGCUGCUCUAAAUGGGAGGUAUAUGUCUUCUAAAGCUAAAUA